AGUGAACGCUGGCGGUAGGCCUAACACAUGCAAGUCGAACGGCAGCACAGUAAGAGCUUGCUCUUACGGGUGGCGAGUGGCGGACGGGUGAGGAAUACAUCGGAAUCUACUUUUUCGUGGGGGAUAACGUAGGGAAACUUACGCUAAUACCGCAUACGACCUACGGGUGAAAGCAGGGGAUCUUCGGACCUUGCGCGAUUGAAUGAGCCGAUGUCGGAUUAGCUAGUUGGCGGGGUAAAGGCCCACCAAGGCGACGAUCCGUAGCUGGUCUGAGAGGGUGAUCAGCCACACUGGAACUGAGACACGGUCCAGACUCCUACGGGAGGCAGCAGUGGGGAAUAUUGGACAAUGGGCGCAAGCCUGAUCCAGCCAUACCGCGUGGGUGAAGAAGGCCUUCGGGUUGUAAAGCCCUUUUGUUGGGAAAGAAAAGCAGCAGGUUAAUACCACGCUGUUCUGACGGUACCCAAAGAAUAAGCACCGGCUAACUUCGUG
rnacentral:rRNA from 1 species